AUUGAACGCUGGCGGCAGGCCUAACACAUGCAAGUCGAGCGGAGCGGCGGACGGGUGAGUAAUGCCUAGGAAUCUGCCUGGGCGUGGGGGAUAACGUCCGGAAACGGGCGCUAAUACCGCAUCCUAUCAGAUGAGCAUAGGUCGGAUUAGCUAGGUGGUGGGGUAAAGGCAUACCAAGGCGACGAUCCGUAACUGGUCUGAGAGGAGGAUCAGUCAAACUGGAACUGAGACACGGUCCAGACUCCUACGGGAGGCAGCAGUGGGGAAUAUUGGACAAUGGGCGAAAGCCUGAUCCAGCCACGCCGCGUGUGUGAAGAAGGUCUUCGGAUUGUAAAGUACUUUCAGCGGGGAGGCGUUACCCGCAGAAGAAGCACCGGCUAACUCCGUGCCAGCCGCCGCGGUAAUAC
rnacentral:rRNA from 1 species